rnacentral:rRNA from 1 species
ACGGAGGAUCCAAGCGUUAUCCGGAUUUAUUGGGUUUAAAGGGUGCGUAGGCGGACCUUUAAGUCAGUGGUGAAAGUUUGCGGCUCAACCGUAAAAUUGCCAUUGAAACUGAAGGUCUUGAGUGUAAAUAAGGUAGGCGGAAUGUGUUGUGUAGCGGUGAAAUGCUUAGAUAUAAGGCGGAACACCAGUUGCGAAGGCAGCUUACUGGGAUAGAACUGACGCUGAGGCACGAAAGCGUGGGGAUCAAACAG